UACGUAGGGUGCAAGCGUUAAUCGGAAUUACUGGGCGUAAAGCGUGCGCAGGCGGCUAUGCAAGACAGAUGUGAAAUCCCCGGGCUUAACCUGGGAACUGCAUUUGUGACUGCAUGGCUAGAGUACGGUAGAGGGGGAUGGAAUUCCGGCGUGUAGCAGUGAAAUGCGUAGAUAUGCGGAGGAACACCGAUGGCGAAGGCAAUCCCCUGGACCUGUACUGACGCUCAUGCACGAAAGCGUGGGGAGCAAACAGG
rnacentral:rRNA from 1 species